rnacentral:rRNA from 1 species
AAUUUAAGCAUAUCACUAAGCGGAGGAAAAGAAAACAACCGUGAUGCCCCCUAGUAAUGGCGAAUGAAGCGGGCAGAGCUCACGCCGCCAAUCUGGAGGCCGUACGGCCCCCCGAAUUGUAGUCUAGAAAGGCGCCAUCGGCCGCGUCCGCCGCUCAAAUCCCUUGGAACGGGGUAUCGGAGAAGGUGAGAAUCCUGUGCCGUGGCGGGUCGCGGCCGCACGAUGCGCUCUUGCAGAGUCGGGUUGCUUGGGAUUGCAGCUUGAAGUGGGUGGUAAAUUCCUCCUAAAGCUAAAUACUGGCGAGAGACCGAUAGCGAACAAGUACCGUGAGGGAAAGAUGCAAAGAACUUUGAAAAGAGAGUUAAAGAGUGCUUGAAAUCGGUGACAUGAAACCCAGAUGCACCUGGCUUCGCCUGGCCGAUUCAGCCGUGAUAUUUCUCGGUGCACUUCGGUCGGGCGGGUCAGCCGCCGCUCUGCGUGCGACACACGUCCUUUGACGAGGCUUCGGCGACUCUUUGGCCGACGCCGCGCGUGGAACACGGACCAAGGACCCGCUGAAUUUAAGCCAG